GACGAACCGUGCAAACGUUGUUCGGAUUCACUGGGCUUAAAGGGCGCGUAGGCGGGCGGUCAAGUCAGGGGUGAAAGCCUCCAGCUUAACUGGAGAAGUGCCUCUGAUACUGACUGUCUCGAGGGAGGUAGGGGCAUGUGGAACUCAGGGUGGAGCGGUGAAAUGCGUAGAUAUCCUGAGGAACGCCGGUGGCGAAAGCGACGUGCUGGACCUCUUCUGACGCUGAGGCGCGAAAGCCAGGGGAGCAAACGGG
rnacentral:rRNA from 1 species